UUUACUUUUUCUUUUUUUACUUUUAUUGAUUUGCCUACAAGAGGGAUAAUUCUACUGGAUGUCCUCCAGAGAAAGGUGAACCUCUUAUCUGCAUUUAUUUUUUUACAAUUUUUCCACAGGGAGGGGCCCAAUAGCCCACUAUGGUCCACUAUUGGUCUUUAAACAGUACGAUAAGAGCUGCUGCAAGACACGUCUUUCUCUGAAGAACAACUUCUGACACAGCGGAUAACAUUGCAUAAGAUUACAAAGAGAACAUCUGAUGUUACAGCCACCUCGUCUGGACUGAGCAAUUUCUUUGACAUGUUCUCCACAUGCUGCAGCGUCUCAUGAUGGGGAAGUGGGCUGCCUGCACGGGAUUCCCUCGGGGAUGAGAAGAGCUGGAACGGACGACUGCGAUCGUUUUCUAGGAAUGAGGUUUUAUGGUUUAUUGGUCAAUAUUAUUUUUGCCCUGAGGGGGAAAUAACAGCACAGCAUGCUCAAAGAUCAAAGAGUAAAAUCAAAGCACCAAAAACAGAGAGGACAGGGUAAAAAAAGAAACAACACAUGCAUCAAAAAUACGACGUGCAGAAAUACAGUUAAGAGAGGAAAUAGUUUGAUGUUAUGAUGCAUAACUACAGCAGCAGGCUGUAGUUAUGCAAAAAAGACUCUUUGACUUUUGUUUUUACUGCAGACACCUUAUACUGAAAGCCUGAGGGAAGAAGAUGGAAAUCUACUCAAAAUAUGACAAUUGUUGCUCUGCUCAGUGCCUGUCUAUUAAACAUAUGCUUUU